rnacentral:rRNA from 1 species
UACGGGGGGAGCAAGCGUUGUUCGGAUUUACUGGGCGUAAAGCGCACGUAGGCGGAUACUUAAGUCAGGGGUGAAAUCCCGGGGCUCAACCCCGGAACUGCCUUUGAUACUGGGUAUCUCGAGUCCGGAAGAGGUGAGUGGAAUUCCGAGUGUAGAGGUGAAAUUCGUAGAUAUUCGGAGGAACACCAGUGGCGAAGGCGGCUCACUGGUCCGGUACUGACGCUGAGGUGCGAAAGCGUGGGGAGCAAACAGG